AGCACUUAAGGCGCUAACAGCCCCACCUGGCCCCCGCCCGCUCACCGCUGCCUCCCCAGCCCGCGCCUCAGUCUCUCCGAGUCUGCUCCGCAGGUAUUAAAUUUCUGUAGAGCAACCUUAAAGAGCUGCUUCUGCCAGCUUCAUCAGAAGGCUCUGAAACCAUGGAGGGAGAGAGGAGCUGUGACAAGAAAAGAACCAGCACUUUUGCGCCGCGCUACUUGCGAAACUAACCCGAAACAAGCUCCGCCGCGGCCCCCAAACCCGUUGUCUAGAGGUCACCGCCACCCCUCCGAGCCAGCUCCUUCUCCCGCCCUGUCCCAGCCGACGGGGUGAGCGCUGCAUGCCUGGAGCCCGUUUCGCAGCCGGCAGUCCCGCCGCGACGGGGUAGACGCUUC